AUUGAACGCUGGCGGCAUGCCUUACACAUGCAAGUCGAACGGUAACGCGGGGCAACCUGGCGACGAGUGGCGAACGGGUGAGUAAAGCAUCGGAACGUGCCCAGUAGUGGGGGAUAGCCCGGCGAAAGCCGGAUUAAUACCGCAUACGACCUAUGGGCGACAGGGGGGAUCGCAAGACCUCUCGCUAUUGGAGCGGCCGAUGUCAGACUAGGUAGUUGGUGGGGUAAAGGCCUACCAAGCCGACGAUCUGUAGCUGGUCUGAGAGGACGACCAGCCACACUGGGACUGAGACACGGCCCAGACUCCUACGGGAGGCAGCAGUGGGGAAUUUUGGACAAUGGGCGCAAGCCUGAUCCAGCCAUGCCGCGUGCGGGAAGAAGGCCUUCGGGUUGUAAACCGCUUUUGUCAGGGAAGAAAUCCUUUGGGUUAAUACCUCGGGGGGAUGACGGUACCUGAAGAAUAAGCACCGGCUAACUACGUGCCAGCCGCCGCGGUAA
rnacentral:rRNA from 1 species